CCUACGGGUGGCAGCAGUGAGGAAUAUUGGGCAAUGGACGAAAGUCUGACCCAGCCAAGUCGCGUGAAGGAUGACUGCCCUAUGGGUUGUAAACUUCUUUUAUAAAGGAAUAAAACGACGCACGUGUGCCUUUUUGCAUGUACUUUAUGAAUAAGGAACGGCUAACUCCGUGCCAUCAGCCGCGGUAAUACGGAGGAUCCGAGCGUUAUGCGGAUUUAUUGGGUUUAAAGGGAGCGUAGAUGGGUUGUUAAGUCAGUUGUGAAAGUUUGCGGCUCAACCGUAAAAUUGCAAUUGAUACUGGCAGUCUUGAGUACAUGUGAGGUAGGCGGAAUUCGUGGUGUAGGGGUGAAAUGCUUAGAUAUCACGAAGAACACCGAUUGCGAAGGCAGCUUACUAACCUGUGACUGACAUUGAGGCUCGAAAGUGUGGGUAUCAAACAGGAUUAGAUACCCCUGUAGUC
rnacentral:rRNA from 1 species